rnacentral:rRNA from 1 species
GUAGGAUAAGAGUAAAUUAUAUUAGUUGGAAGUUAGAAAUGAUUAUUAAGAGAAUGUUUAAUUUAAUGGGUAAAAUUAGUUAAAUUAAUUAUUUCUUAAAAUAGUAAAGUCGAAGCUUUGAAUAUUAAGAUUUAAACUAGGAUUAGAUACCCUAUUAUUUUAAUUGUAAAAAGGAAAGGCUUGAGUAGUAUUAGUUAAUAGCUUGAAACUCAAAGAAUUUGGCGGUGUCUUAGUCUUUUCAGAGGAAUCUGUCCCGUAAUUGAUAAUACACAUUAGAUGCUACUUAAUUUAGUAUAUCAGCUUGUAUACCGCCGUCAUCAGAUCAUCUUUUUAGAGGGAUAAUUUUCUUAAUAUUAUAAGAUAAUAUGUCAGGUCAAGGUGCAGUUUAUAGUUAAGAGAGAGAUGGAUUACAAUAAAUUUAUUUAAAUGGAUUCWUUGACGAAAUUAAAUGAUGAAAGUGGAUUUGAAGGUAAUUUUGUUAAAUUAUGAUAAAAUGAUUUAAGCUCUAGGGCAUGUACACAUCGCCCGUCGCUCUCGYUAUUAAGGUGAGAUAAGUCGUAACAUAGUAGUCGUACUGGAAAGUGCGGUUAGAAAGCCAA